GUCGAGCGGACCGAAGGGAGCUUGCUCCUUUAGGUUAGCGGCGGACGGGUGAGUAACACGUGGGCAACCUGUCUAUAAGACUGGGAUAACCUCGGGAAACCGGAGCUAAUACCGGAUAAUGCUUUUGAACACAUGUUUGAAAGCUGAAAGAUGGUUUCGGCUAUCACUUAUAGAUGGGCCCGCGGCGCAUUAGCUAGUUGGUGGGGUAACGGCUCACCAAGGCGACGAUGCGUAGCCGACCUGAGAGGGUGAUCGGCCACACUGGGGCUGAGACACGGCCCAGACUCCUACGGGAGGCAGCAGUGGGGAAUCUUCCGCAAUGGACGAAAGUCUGACGGAGCAACGCCGCGUGAGCGAAGAAGGUCUUCGGAUCGUAAAGCUCUGUUGUCAGGGAAGAACAAGUGCCGUUCGAACAGGGCGGUACCUUGACGGUACCUGACGAGGAAGCCACGGCUAACUACGUGCCAGCAGCCGCGGUAAU
rnacentral:rRNA from 1 species